GCCGAAGUAGCUCAAUUGGUAGAGCAACGGUAUCGUAAACCGUAGGUUGU
rnacentral:tRNA from 1 species